GGUUGUAGCUCAGUGAUAAAGCACUUGCCUCGCAUGCAUGAGGCCCUGGGUUUGAUCCUCAGCACCA
rnacentral:tRNA from 1 species